GGCCUGGUAGUUCAGUUGGUAGAAUACAUGCUUUGGGUGUAAUAACAAACAAGAUGUGGUCCUGGGUUCGAUUCCCAGCUAGGCCC